rnacentral:rRNA from 1 species
UACGUAGGGUGCAAGCGUUGUCCGGAAUUAUUGGGCGUAAAGAGCUCGUAGGUGGUUUGUCGCGUUGUUCGUGAAAACCGGGGGCUUAACCCUCGGCGUGCGGGCGAUACGGGCAGACUGGAGUACUGCAGGGGAGACUGGAAUUCCUGGUGUAGCGGUGAAAUGCGCAGAUAUCAGGAAGAACACCAGUGGCUAAGGCGGUUCUCUAGUACGGUACUGACGCUGAGACGCGAAAGCGUGGGGAGCGAACAGG